UAUUAGGAUUUCAUGAAUGGUACUAGGAAAAUGGUGUUGGGUAUCUUGGUACUGGGACAAGUAAAAAGGUACUAGAUUAGUGCAAAAGUACUAGGUAAAACAACAUCUGGUACAAAAGUAGCCAACUGCUCCAGCAAUUGGCUACUUUUGGGCUACUUUUUAAAAAUUAUUUGGCUACAAGGACAAAAAACAUCUGGCAACGCUGAUUUGUACUGCGUGUACUGUACAAGGAGACGUUUUUGGGUAACAUAAACUUUUGAAUUUAUUAUCUCUCUCAAUAAUUAGAAUGGCCAGAUGAUGUUAUUUGCGCUGUGUAUUGCUGUUUUAAUUAUAAGAUACAAAGUGAUCGCAAGUCGUUUUACGGAUUCCCUAAAAACAAACAAGUAUGCACUCAAUGGGUUAUUAAGAGCAGAAGGACCGAUUUACACGAGAUUUUGAAAGCAAAAGGGCCAGAGUAUUUAAAUAGAAAUUAUGUCGUGUGUUCCCACCAUCUUACAGAAAAAGAUUUUAGAAACAAAAAUCUCUUAAAUCAAGGGAUCUGGCCUGGUACAGUAACCUCACUAUUAAUUAAUUAAUUAAUUUAUAAUGCCAAACAGACUACGAUGAGAAGCAGCCCCAAAAAACAAAAAUAGAACAUUCACAUGUAGAAAUGUCAUAUUUCAUGUUUUUGAUACACAUGAU